rnacentral:rRNA from 1 species
AUUGAACGCUGGCGGCAGGCCUAACACAUGCAAGUCGAACGGUAACAGGAAGAAGCUUGCUUCUUUGCUGACGAGUGGCGGACGGGUGAGUCAUGUCUGGGAAACUGCCUGAUGGAGGGGGAUAACUACUGGAAACGGUAGCUAAUACCGCAUAACGUCGCAAGACCAAAGAGGGGGACCUUCGGGCCUCUUGCCAUCGGAUGUGCCCAGAUGGGAUUAGCUAGUAGGUGGGGUAACGGCUCACCUAGGCGACGAUCCCUAGCUGGUCUGAGAGGAUGACCGGCCACACUGGAACUGAGACACGGUCCAGACUCCUACGGGAGGCAGCAGUGGGGAAUAUUGCACAAUGGGCGCAAGCCUGAUGCAGCCAUGCCGCGUGUAUGAAGAAGGCCUUCGGGUUGUAAAGUACUUUCAGCGGGGAGGAAGGGAGUAAAGUUAAUACCUGUGCUCAUUGACGUUACCCGCAGAAGAAGCACCGGCUAACUCCGUG